GUAGGUAGGUAGCUGGAGAGAGAGGUAGGUAGGUGGAGAGAGAGAGGUAGGUAUGUAGAGGGAGAGAGGUAGGUAGGUAGAGAGAGAGAGAGAGAGAGAGAGAGAGAGAGAGAGGUAGGUAGGUAGCUAGAGAGAGGUAGGUAGCUAGAGAGGUAGGUAGCUAGAGAGAGAGAGAGGUAGGUAGGUAGAGAGAG